CCAAAAUAUAUGUUAAGUGGAAAAGGAUGUGGCGUUGCCCAGACAACUAGGAUGUUGGCUUAGAAGCAGCCAUCAUUUAAAGAGUGCGUAAUAGCUCACUAGUCGAGUGACACUGCGCCGAAAAUGUACCGGGGCUAAACAUAUUACCGAAGCUGUGGAUUGUCCUUUGGACAAUGGUAGGAGAGCGUUCUAAGGGCGUCGAAGCAUGAUCGCAAGGACAUGUGGAGCGCUUAGAAGUGAGAAUGCCGGUGUGAGUAGCGAAAGACGGGUGAGAAUCCCGUCCACCGAUUGACUAAGGUUUCCAGAGGAAGGCUCGUCCGCUCUGGGUUAGUCGGGUCCUAAGCUGAGGCCGACAGGCGUAGGCGAUGGAUAACAGGUUGAUAUUCCUGUACCACCUAGUAUCGUUUUAAUCGAUGGGGGG
rnacentral:rRNA from 1 species